UACGGGGGGGGCAAGCGUUGUUCGGAAUUACUGGGCGUAAAGGGCUCGUAGGUGGCCAACUAAGUCAGACGUGAAAUCCCUCGGCUUAACCGGGGAACUGCGUCUGAUACUGGAUGGCUUGAGUUCGGGCAGGAGGGGUAGAGUCAACUCGUGUAGCAGUGAAAUGCGUAGAGAUGUGGAGGAACACCGAUGGCGAAGGCAGCCCCCUGGGUACAAGAUUGACGCUCAUGCACGAAAGCGUGGGGAGCAAACAGG
rnacentral:rRNA from 1 species